GUGGGUAGUUUGACUGGGGCGGUCUCCUCCCAAAGCGUAACGGAGGAGCACGAAGGUUAGCUAAUCCUGGUCGGACAUCAGGAGGUUAGUGCAAUGGCAUAAGCUAGCUUGACUGCGAGCGUGACGGCGCGAGCAGGUGCGAAAGCAGGUCAUAGUGAUCCGGUGGUUCUGAAUGGAAGGGCCAUCGCUCAACGGAUAAAAGGUACUCCGGGGAUAACAGGCUGAUACCGCCCAAGAGUUCAUAUCGACGGCGGUGUUUGGCACCUCGAUGUCGGCUCAUCACAUCCUGGGGCUGAAGUAGGUCCCAAGGGUAUGGCUGUUCGCCAUUUAAAGUGGUACGCGAGCUGGGUUUAGAACGUCGUGAGACAGUUCGGUCCCUAUCUGCCGUGGGCGCUGGAGAAUUGAGGGGGGCUGCUCCUAGUACGAGAGGACCGGAGUGGACGCAUCACUGGUGUUCGGGUUGUCAUGCCAAUGGCACUGCCCGGUAGCUAAAUGCGGAAGAGAUAAGUGCUGAAAGCAUCUAAGCACGAAACUUGCCCCGAGAUGAGUUCUCCCUGAGACUUUAAGU
rnacentral:rRNA from 1 species